UCCAAUUCCCUUAUCAGAAGAGAACACAGACAACUCACUAUGGAGUUCUUGCUUGGCUGGGUUUUCCUUGUUGCUCUUUUAAAAGGUGUCCAGUCUGAGGUGCAGCUGGUGGAGACUGGGGGAGACCUGGUGAAACCUGGGGGGUCCCUGAGACUCUCCUGUGCAGCCUCUGGAUUCACCUUCAGUAGCUACUACAUGAGCUGGGUCCACCAGGCUCCAGGCAAGGGGCUGCAGUGGGUCGCAUGGAUUAGCUAUGAUGCAAGUAGCACAAGCUACACAGACUCUGUGAAGGGCCGAUUCACCAUCUCCAGAGACAAUGGCAAGAACACGCUGUAUCUGCAGAUGAACAGCCUGAGAGCCGAGGACACGGCCGUGUAUUACUGUGCAACAGAGGGCCCUUGGCAAUGUGACUACUUUGAAUACUGGGGCCAGGGGACCCUGGUCACCGUGUCCUCAGAGAACCCAUCCCCUCCAAACCUCUUCCCCCUCAUCACCUGUGAGAGCUUCCCAUCUGAUGAGACCCUGGUGGCCAUGGGCUGCCUGGCCCGGGACUUCCUGCCCAACUCCAUCACCUUCUCCUGGAACUAUCAGAACAGCAGUGAGGUCGGCAACCAGGACAUCAAGAAUUUCCCUUCGGUUCUGAGAGAGGGCAAGUACGUGGCUACCUCCCAGGUGUUCCUGCCCUCCGUGGACAUCCUGCAGGGCUCUGAUGAGUACCUCACAUGCAAGGUCAAACACUCCAACGGUGACAAAUCUGUGCAAGUGCGCCUCCCAGGAGUGAAUGGAGAGCUGUCCCCCAACGUGACUGUCUUCAUCCCGCCCCGCGAUGCCUUCUCUGGCAACAGCCAGCGCACGUCCCAACUCCUCUGCCAGGCCAGAGGUUUCAGCCCCAAGCAGAUCUCCGUGUCCUGGUUUCGUGAUGGAAAGCAGAUCGAGUCCGGCAUCGACACCGGCAAGGUGGAGGCUGAGGACAAAGUGUCCGGGGCUGUGACCUACAGGGUCCUCAGCAUGCUGACCAUCACCGAGAGCGCCUGGCUCAGCCAGAGCGUGUUCACCUGCCAAGUGGAGCACAACGGAGUGAUCUCUGAGAAGAACGUGUCCUCCACGUGCACCCCCAAUUCACCCGUCAGCAUCAGCAUCUUCACCAUCCCCCCCUCCUUUGCUAGCAUCUUCCUCACCAAGUCGGCCAAGCUGUCCUGCCUGGUCACAAACCUGGCCACCUACGACAGCCUGACCAUCUCCUGGACCCGCCAGAAUGGCGAGCCUCUGAAAACCCACACCAACAUCUCUGAGAGCCACCCCAACAUCACCUUCAGUGCCACGGGGGAGGCCACGGUUUGUGUGGAGGACUGGGAGUCAGGAGAACAGUUCACCUGCACGGUCACCCACACGGAUCUGCCCUCGCCUCUGAAGAAGACCAUCUCCAGGCCCAAGGAGGUUGCCAAGCACAUGCCAGCUGUGUAUGUCCUGCCACCAAGCCGGGAGCAGCUCAGCCUGCGGGAGUCGGCCUCGGUUACCUGCCUGGUGAAGGGCUUCUCUCCCCCAGACGUGUUUGUGCAGUGGCUGCAGAAGGGGCAGCCCAUGUCCCCCGACAGCUACGUGACCAGCGCCCCGACGCCCGAGCCGCAAGCCCACGGCCUCUACUUUGUCCACAGCACCCUGACCGUGAGCGAGGAGGACUGGAGCGCUGGGGAGACCUACACCUGUGUUGUAGGCCAUGAGGCCCUGCCCCACAUGGUGACCGAGAGGAGCGUGGACAAGUCCACCGGGGGGGAGGUGAGUGCCGAUGAGGAAGGCUUCGAGAACCUGAACACCAUGGCGUCUACCUUCAUUGUCCUCUUCCUCCUCAGCGUCUUCUAUAGCACAACAGUGACACUGUUCAAGGUGAAAUGACCGGCCAGCCAAGAACAUCAGAGGCCCGGGACGUGUGCCCAGGGGGCAGCCCGCGGAGCCCGUCAGCUGGUCCUCAGAUCCGCCCCACAUCACCCCCUCCCGCUUCCAGCUCCGAGACGCGGCCGCGUGUCUUCGAGUCCGCUCCGAGCGUUGUUUUGCAAUGUACACGCAUGUCACCUUCAA